rnacentral:rRNA from 1 species
UUUAUUGGAGAGUUUGAUCCUGGCUCAGGACGAACGCUGGCGGCGUGCCUAAUACAUGCAAGUCGAGCGCUUGCGUAUUGAAAGCUUGCUUUCAAUAUGCUUGAGCGGCGGACGGGUGAGUAACACGUGGGCAACCUGCCUGUAAGACUGGGAUAACUUCGGGAAACCGGAGCUAAUACCGGAUAAUGCUUUUGAA